GAUGAACGCUGGCGGCGUGCCUAAUACAUGCAAGUCGAGCGAACGGACGAGAAGCUUGCUUCUCUGAUGUUAGCGGCGGACGGGUGAGUAACACGUGGAUAACCUACCUAUAAGACUGGGAUAACUUCGGGAAACCGUAGCUAAUACCGGAUAAUAUUUUGAACCGCAUGGUUCAAAAGUGAAAGACGGUCUUGCUGUCACUUAUAGAUGGAUCCGCGCUGCAUUAGCUAGUUGGUAAGGUAACGGCUUACCAAGGCAACGAUGCAUAGCCGACCUGAGAGGGUGAUCGGCCACACUGGAACUGAGACACGGUCCAGACUCCUACGGGAGGCAGCAGUAGGGAAUCUUCCGCAAUGGGCGAAAGCCUGACGAGCAACGCCGCGUGAGUGAUGAAGGUCUUCGGAUCGUAAAACUCUGUUAUUAGGGAAGAACAUAUGUGUAAGUAACUGUGCACAUCUUGACGGUACCUAAUCAGAAAGCCACGGCUAACUACGUG
rnacentral:rRNA from 1 species